GACAGAGGGUGCAAACGUUGCUCGGAAUUACUGGGCGUAAAGCGCGUGUAGGCGGUUCCGCAAGUCAGGUGUGAAAGCCCAGGGCUCAACCCUGGAAGUGCACUUGAUACUACGGAGCUUGAGUACUGAAGAGGAGAGCGGAAUUCCAGGUGUAGCGGUGAAAUGCGUAGAUAUCUGGAGGAACACCGGUGGCGAAGGCGGCAUCCUGGACCGGCAUUGACGCUGAGGCGCGAAAGCCAGGGGAGCAAACGGG
rnacentral:rRNA from 1 species